UACGUAGGGUGCGAGCGUUGUCCGGAAUUAUUGGGCGUAAAGAGCUCGUAGGCGGCUUGUCGCGUCUACCGUGAAAACCCGCAGCUCAACUGCGGGCUUGCGGUCGAUACGGGCAGGCUCGAGUUCGGUAGGGGAGACUGGAAUUCCUGGAGUAGCGGUGGAAUGCGCAGAUAUCAGGAGGAACACCGGUGGCGAAGGCGGGUCUCUGGGCAGUAACUGACGCUGAGGAGCGAAAGCGUGGGGAGCGAACAGG
rnacentral:rRNA from 1 species